rnacentral:rRNA from 1 species
GGGACCCCAGGUCAGGCGGGACUACCCGCUGAGUUUAAGC